rnacentral:rRNA from 1 species
UAGGGAAUCUUCGGCAAUGGGGGCAACCCUGACCAAGCAACGCCGCGUGAGUGAAGAAGGUUUUCGGAUCGUAAAGCUCUGUUGUAAGAGAAGAACGUGUGUGAGAGUGGAAAGUUCACACAGUGACGGUAACUUACCAGAAAGGGACGGCUAACUACGUGCCAA